ensembl:lncRNA
GCAAAACUCAAAGGAAUCGUCUAUACUUGCUGCUCUCCUCUUCUCCCAUUUUCUCAGAAGCCCACUCUAAUUAGGAGUUUUGUCAGUCUUUCUCUGCUAAACCUGUCCUGUUACUACUAAAUACAAUGGUCAGACUUUUUGUUUGUUUUUUGGUGAUGAAGAUUGGCCCUGAGCUAACAUCUGUGCCAUUCUUCCUCUACUUUGUAUGUGGCACACUGCCACAGCAUGGCUUGAUGAGCAGUGUUUAGGUCCGCACCUGGGAUCCAAACCUGCAAACCCUGGGCCACUGAAGCAGAGCGCAUGAACUUAGCCACUGUGCCACUGGGCCAGCCUCCAUUGGUCAGUGUUAAAUUCUCAUCUACUUGACCUAUCAGCAGCGUUUGACACUGAAUCUUUGGCCUCCAGAACUCCACUUUCUGAGUUCUUCACCUACCUUACUGGCCACUCUUUUUCAGUCUCUUUUGCAAGUUUCUCCUCAUUUCCCUUAACCUCCAAGCAUUGGAGUGUCCCAGGGCUGUGUCUCUUUUCUUUCUACACACAUUCACUGAGUGAUUCAGUCCUAUGACUUAAAAAACCAUUCUUCAUUAAAACCUGAAUUCUCUCUAUAAGUUGAACCCCAGCCUUAGAAAUCCAGUUGCCUUCUUGACAUCUCCACUUGGGUGAUGUGGUAGGGUAUAUGAUUGUUCCCACUUAUUCACUUCCCUGAUAUAAAAAUAUUACACAUCCCUGUUGAAUCAUCACCUCAUUGCCAUACGACUUGCAGUAGCUCUUAUUGACAUUAGGCUUAGUCAGGCAGCAGGCUCUGGCUAGCCUAAGUGAUAUGUGCCGUAUCUCAGCAGACGUUUUAGGAGCUAUUGCAUGAUUCUGCCAUAGCUGUUUUCCCUCCUCCAUGAGAAUGACACCUUCCAGAUAGGGGGUUUUUUCACCCUAGAUUCCUGAAUGAAAAAGACACAUGUAACAGCAAGACAACUAACCUACAACCAACAUCAGGAUAUUCCUGUGGCUGUUCAUCGUUAUCCACAAAUUCAACAGGAAUAGCUGUUUUCUUCUUUCACCAACAUAUCGAAGACUUUGAAACUAUGACAAAGCCACCAAGCUAGAAGCUGACAUAAGAGAAAGAGUCAUUGCCACUGGUACAACAGAAGAGACAGACUAGAAGACAUUUUCAUCCCCCGGUCCACGUAUCUCGACAGGCCCUGAAUUUCUCCCUGGAAUCUGGUGGACAGUGAAGAGUCUGUCUGUGAUCUGACUUGCUGUUGGACCAAGGAUUUCAGGGGGCUGUUGCUGAAGCGUUGAGACUGUGUGUCUAUGGAGCCCUAGGACUGAAUCAGAACCAAGACUCACCUGGAACCCAGGAAGUGCACCAAUAUUCAUCGGUGCUUUUUUUCAGGCCAAAUUGAGGGAUGAAUUAUAGUUUGAUCAGCCAGAGCUGGGUGGACUUUAAAGGUAGUUACUGUUUUACUAGCCUAAUUGGUGCCACUUUUUUCUCAGUCUUGAAAGUCUUAUAGAUGCUACCUUCAAAGAUCACUUUUAUUGGAGUGGUUUUCACCUGGAGUUGGACCACCUGGAUUAGUAUCUUGGCUUCACUACUUUGCCACUACUAGCUCUGCGACCUUGGGCAAUCUCUCCAAGCAUCAGUUUACUCCUCUGGAGAGUGGGGAUAACA